CUGAGAAGGGACUACAGCCAUUUCUUCUUUUCAAGUCAGGAUGCAAGAGAGCCAAGUUAGAGGUUCUGUUGUGAGCUUUUCCACUGACAUGCUUGGUCGCUUUCCUCUCUGAAUCUCUCUCUGCAAAGAAGAUGGUAAGCUCAGAAAGAUGGCAAACUCAGGAUGAAGAUGGUAAGAAUUCAAAUAUGGCAGUGUGAGCCAUAUCUCAGCCUGUACUCACUGCUGAUCUUUUAGUUUUCUCCUUUGUAAACAAAUGUCUAUUUGUUUACCCUUAGAAUAGUGCUGGCUGCUAAUGCUUGUUUGAGGGUUAAGACAGGGAAGGAAAAGGAGAAAAAGGAAAGGACAAAAGCUUUGCUGUCAAAUGUGCCACAUGAAAAUGACAAUAGAAAUGCACACUGUUUUAAGAUGACAAGUCUGGGAACAAUCUUUAAUUUAAAGGUUCUUAUCCACAGUUUUCAUAAAGAAAUGUUAAUUAAAAGUGCAAUGACAUGUUUGGGAUUUAAAGGAAAUCAUUCUGCGAAGGAUUUAUAGCAAUCACAGCUCCAGAGCAUUAGGAUUACAGAUCCUUCUGCUGUUCCUUUUCAGUGAUCAUGUGAUUGUCCUGUUGUUAAAUAUAGCUCCCAUUUAGUGAAUCGAGACAGGCAUGGGAAAGGUAGGGAUAGUUUCCCUCUAACCAGCGGGAUUUCAGAGGUGUUGGAGAUUAUACAAUUCAUUAGUUUUAGCAUAAGAUCAAAGGAAGAGGGGAAGUCUUAAUUUGGGCGCCAACUGCUACUGUCUGAAAGUCUUGCAGCUUAAAUGAGAAGUGAACAUUUGCAGUGCUAACUGCUUGUCUUAGAGCAUGAGCCUAUUGUUUUAUAUCUCACAAACUCAUUGUUCUUUUCCUGCAGAUAAUUCUCACACUUAAGACCUUCUGAGAUAGUUAUGUCCAUUGUGAAUAGUUCAGCAACCAACUGGCUCAGAGGUUAUUGCCUAAGCAUCUUUCCCUCGCUCUAAUCCCCUGCAAGGUUUUUUCUGAGCAGUGUUGUUAAUCUAAAAUGACUGCUAACUGACUCCUGUGUCAAACAUUAUUCAUUAUGCACUUUAAAUGCUUCCUGCAGAGGCCAAAAUAAAUUUUGCUUUUUAAAAGCAGACCACAAGGAGUGCCUACAUAGGAUAUUUCCUAAAAGAUUAGACUAAAAAUGGCAGUUAAGAUGUUGGGGGGAAUGAACAGCGUUCACAACAAAGCUUCACAGUUUAACCAGGGAUAAACUUCAGUUACCAAAACCUACUUUCAUAUAGAUUUAUCUAUAAACUAUCUAUAACCGAAGGAAGAGCUCACCCUUACGGGGUGGGAGAAAUACCUUUAUAAAGGGAUGUUAUAAGGUACUUUAUUAGAAAAUGAGGGCCAAAUAAACAAAAAUGUAAAAAGUAGUAAUUCUCCUGUGUCUUGGUUGUGGGUGUUUUUUUUCAGGUGUCACUGGUGUUGGCACAAAGGGAGAGCUUUUUUUGUGUCAGUGGCACUGACAGGCCUUGCAUGCAUAAUGACAGCAUAGGAAUAGACAGACAGAUAGAUUUGAAUAGCAAUAAGGUGGGUUUUCUUCCAGUGUGAAAAGAGCAUGGGAUUCGUGUGUACUGAGAUGAAGUAUAGCCUUGCUGCACAGUGCAAAUAUUUAAUGCUCUUCUAACUAUCCCCAGGUUAUUGGAGUGUAACAGUUAAUAGCCAUCAGCUGCCAAACCCAGUGAGCAGUUUGGGUGCCUAAAAAGAAAAUGAAAAGUUAAAAAAUGAAGCCAAGUCAGACUAGAAACCCACAAAUCAUAAAUGUGCUAUAGCUUAGCAGGCAGAUCAUCUCCAAAGUUCAGAGCAGCGUCAACCUGAGCUGCUGCUUCUCAAAUGAGAGAAGGAUUGAGUACAUCUGUCUUCCAGUCUGAGCUUUGCCAUGUACUCACAGGCCAGCUCUGGCUGGACCUUCUGCUUUCCAGCCCUGUUACUUCUAGUAAUAUUUUUAAGGAGAUGGAGUAUGGCCUGAAAAGAAGAAAAGCAAAGCAUUAUCACUAUUCUGUAUCAAAUAUCUCAAGGCAGUGAUGCAGCAUAAAUUCAUGGAAAAACUGAGGGGCUCCUGAACUGAGUUUGAGAGAAAUCCUGUGCUUGGAAGUUCUCUGUAUCUGCAGUGCUGUAGAUACGGAGAUGUUAACGCUGGCAUAGGAUAUUACACUUAAAGCAUUAAGUAUUACUGUGGAAUUACAAGAGCGUAUAAGAGUAUUUCAAAGAAUGGAUUCAGCUUGAAAAUCACCCCUCUUUCUCUGUGUAUUUUUCUUAGCAAUGCUAGAAGUAGUAAUUAACUGUACUUAAAAAUUGUUCUGUUUUGAACGGACCUGCUUUUUUGAGAAUAAGCCUUGGGAAUAGGCUAUUUCCCUCUGCCCCUAUGAAUCUGCUGGCAGUUUCCAUCACGUAAUUGGCAGCACAGCAGCCCCUGUUCUCAGGCUUCCUCCGGAGGACAGAUCAGAGAACGGAGCAGAUCAGCUCCUCCCAAAGUAGCUGGAGGACACCUCUGGACCCCGGGGAGCAGACAGGAAGGGGCCACAGGCAACCUAAAGCAGGAGCUCUUCUCGCCAUUUCCCCUUGGUUCAUGUGUCAUUUUCAUGGAAAUGAAAUAAAUGAAAUUACUGAUCCCACUUGGAGAUGCCUUUUCAGGAUUAUGACCUACUGGUGGAACUCUUAAUGGCAUUCAGGUAACCUGCAGAAUUUCAUAGAAUCAUGGAGUCACAGAAUAUCCCGACUUGAAAGGGACCCAUGAGGAUUGUUGAAUCCAGCUCCUGGCUCUGCACAGCACUACCCAACAUUCAAACCCUAUGACUGAGAGUUUUGACCUCAAGCAGAAUUUGUGCUGUGACCAUUGCCCUGAGGAGCCUCUUCAGUUUCUGAGGUUCUUCCGUAACUCUCUCACAUGGAUAGACCUAUUUUAGUCUGACCUGUCCUAAAGCAUAGCCAGCUGCUCUGGCUGUCCUGCAGGGUAAGGACAAAGCAGUUUUCUAUUCAUGUCCCAAGGUCAGUACAAAAACAAACACAUUUUGUAUCUGAUAGCAAAAAGCAUUCAUCAGUGCAACUUUUUCAUUCUGUUAAUGGCCACAGAUUUCAGAAGAUGAACACCCUGGAUUUCAGGAAGGUUGUGCUCCAGAUACGACUUGGGUGUAUUAUGAAUACGUACAUGGCACAUUUCAUUGCCUACAAUUAGCAGUAAACAGCCUCUUGAGGCUUGAUGUGUGUUAUGCAACACAGUGUUUCAGGACAAAGCAAGUUCGCUCUCAAGAAACAAGAUUUUUUAGCACACAACCUGGCAAAUUUAGGCUGGGAAAUGAAGAAACUUAUUUGGGAUGACUUGUCAUAGUACUUUUACUAUGGAGAUCUAUGCCAGUUCAGAAGUUAUCACUUUUACCCCCUAGCAGCAGCAGUUUUAAUUGGGCCACAGAAGGAGUCUUGCAGAGGUGGAAGGUAUUUGGGUUUCCCUGAGGCUCAGAGUUCUUCCCUGAGAAGAAGCCUUACAUCUUGUUGGCUCCAAGCAAAAAGAUAAAUUGUAGUGUGCUUGAGUAUUAAGUUGUACAAUAUCAGCUGCAGAUUUGCUUUUUGGGUUGGUGUGCUAAAGUACAGUUUCCUGCUGAACAUCCUUUGUGUGAUAUAUUUGCCUACCUCUGCCUUGUGUUUGCUUCUCCCUCUUGAUCCUUCCCGUAAAGUCGUAAGUCAUGUUUCAUUUAUCUUACCCAUGUACCUUUUUCCUAAUGACCUCAUUUUUCUAUAACAGAGGAAGAUGGGGCAGUAAUGGGGAGGACAUUUGUCCUGUAUUCCUAUUCAUACCUUCUCCCAAGAACUCUCUCACUCCACACUGACUUGACGAUGGAAUUAAAGAAGUAUUUCUUCAUAAAAAGGCAAGUGAGGUUUUUAAUGAUGCAUUGUUACCUAUGACUCUUUCCAUGUUUCAUGCUGUAGUGAGAUAUCGACUCUGUGCUAAACCAGCAGGCAGCCCUACCAGAGGACUAGCCUCUUUUUCUUUAAUUGGCUUUGAUCCUUGUUCUUUAAUUUUCCUUGGACAAAUCCA